rnacentral:rRNA from 1 species
GGGUGGUAAUGCCGGAUGCUCCAUCACAUCGCAUGGUGUCUGGGAAAGCCUUUGCGGCAUGGGAUGGGGUCGCGUCCUAUCAGCUUGAUGGCGGGGUAACGGCCCACCAUGGCUUCGACGGGUAGCCGGCCUGAGAGGGCGACCGGCCACAUUGGGACUGAGAUACGGCCCAGACUCCUACGGGAGGCAGCAGUGGGGAAUAUUGCACAAUGGGCGCAAGCCUGAUGCAGCGACGCCGCGUGAGGGAUGGAGGCCUUCGGGUUGUAAACCUCUUUUGUUAGGGAGCAAGGCAUUUUGUGUUGAGUGUACCUUUCGAAUAAGCACCGGCUAACUACGUGCCAGCAGCCGCGGUAAUACGUAGGGUGCAAGCGUUAUCCGGAAUUAUUGGGCGUAAAGGGCUCGUAGGCGGUUCGUCGCGUCCGGUGUGAAAGUCCAUCGCUUAACGGUGGAUCCGCGCCGGGUACGGGCGGGCUUGAGUGCGGUAGGGGAGACUGGAAUUCCCGGUGUAACGGUGGAAUGUGUAGAUAU